rnacentral:lncRNA from 1 species
AUGGAGGAGCAACCAGUGAAACCGGAGUUUCCUGGCAUUGCCGCCGAGGUGCCAGCAGGUACUGGCACCCGGUUACCAGCUGUGGAGGUGGCAGCGCCCAAAGUCUCCAUGGGGCUGAGCCUCGCUGGCACGGCACCACUGGCCACCCUUCAAGCCAAGGAGCCGGCGUUACGGCUGCCACAGUUGGAGGUGGCUGUGCCAGCACUGACGCUGCCGGCGGUGAUGCCGGAGCCCAUCACAACCAUAAGUCAACCCCAAAUCAAGCUGGGGGAGGGAGACGCCCCCAGAAGCAGCCAUAAGGGUGGGGGGAGCCCAGUGCCGAAAACCAAGCUGCCAAAUUCCGGCGUGGCCCGAGUAGAGGAUAAGGAGGGGGAUGCUGGCACGCGAGGGGGGUUCGCGGGCAUCCGUGUCCCCUCCAUCGGCAUUGCCAUCCCCAGCGCCGCCGUGGAGCUUGUCCCUGAGCUCAGCAUGCCCAAACUAGAGCCAGCCAUCUCUGUUGAGCAACCACAGUUGGAGGUGAAGCUGCCAGCACGGCGGUCAGAGUCGCCACCAGCAGCACCAGCUCGGUUGGCUUUCCCAGCAGCGGUGGUGCCAUCCAUUGAAAUCGCUGUGCCGCAUGUCGGUGUGGGUUUGGCAUUGCCAGCAGGUGCUGACACCACAGCGGUGCCGGAUGAGGGGGUCACUGCGGUGAUACCAGACAUGGCAGCCAGGUUUGCCAAAGGGCUCCAAAAGCUCAGCCUGGAGCUGGAGCCCAAAGCACCACUGCCGGCGGUGGAAAUCGCCACCCCAGCGCAGCUCACCGGGGACGUGCCAGCAACCAGCGCCAAACCCAAACCCCCCAAAUUCACCCUGCCGCGGUUCGGAUUGUCCCUUGCCAAGCUCAAAACAGGCAGCGAUGGCAACGGGUAUCCCCCAGCAUCCCGCGGCACAACCAUGCCAGCGCCACCCAGCAUCGCCGUUGCCGGUCCCGCGGUGGCCUUAGACCUGGCUUUGGGGACAGCUGGUGCCACCGGUGCCGGGACCAAGCUGAAGGUCCCCAAAUUAUCCCUAGCACCUUUUGGUGUCAAGGAUGGGGACAAGGGUGCUGGUGGUGAGGAGGGUCCCCAGGAUGCCAGCGCAGUGAUGAAGUUGCCACAGUUGGGAAUCAGGGGAUCUGGAGGGGACGAAGGGAGGUCAGCGGAACUGGGGUCCCCUGGGACCCCCCGGCUUCGGGUACCACGGGUGGGCAUCGACCUGCCGGCAACAGGCAGCCGGCGCGUGCCGUCAUUGCCUAAACUCCCUGCAGGGCCAGAGCUGGGUGGGGUGGUGAAGUUGCCAAAAUUUGGGGGAUCCAGCCCCGACAUCCGCAUCGGGGGGGAUCCCAAAAUGAUGAGACGUGGAGGAAGUGCUGAGAGCUUGAGUAUUGGCACAGCAGGAAGGAAGAUGCCGGAGUCUCCUGGCACGUUCCUGUUGAAGCUGAAAACCAGGGGGGCUACGGGUGAUGGGGGGGUGCAACCGUUGAGUCCCCGAUUCUCUGUCCCCGCUGUGGGUUUUACCAUGCCGGUAAAACAACCAGAGGAGCCAGUAAGCCGGAAGAUACCAAAACCCACCAGCGUGCCAGCAUUGAAGGUGCCAAUGUUGGAGUUGGCACCGCCAGGGAUGGAUGGGAUGGAGGAGACCACCAGGAAGGAUGGAGCACCGGGACGCCAGUCUAGGGUCAAACUGCCAAAAUUCAGUGCAGGUUUUGCUGGGAGUGGGUUGGAAGGGGAGGGGAGGACGAGGAUGGGCAGCGUGAAGAAGGCAGUGUUGGUGCUGGUGAAGCCAAAGGAGAAAGGAGAAGACAACAGGGUUGUGGACCCCCACCCCCAUGUCAAUGGGGAAGCGGAGGGCAAGGCCCGGCGACGGCGGUGGAUGCCCAGGGUGGGCUUCUCCCCUGGGGGCUCCCCACCGGAGCCCCCCAUCACCCAACCCAAGGUGGGGAAGAUGCGGUUACCCAACAUGGAGCGCUCCCCUGGGGAGCCUGAAUUCAACAGGAUGAUGACAGAAGUCACCCCACACUUCAAUUUGGGCGGUUUCAGGGGUGAGGGGACCCCUAAAUUUCACCUGCCUAAGGUGGCACUGACCCCCCAACCCUGUGGUGAGCAGUGA